UGUGGUGACUUCCUGCAUGCGGGAUGUGCCAAAAAUCCGUCCAUAUCCAAAUUAACUAAAACCUCUUCAUAUUUUAAUCUGAAGGUGAAUGGUAAUAGAAAAGCAAAGAAGCAGCAACUCAUAAGAAUCAUGUAAAUAAUUGUGUUUUUCAUUGUACAGAUGUACUUCGCUUUAAAUGGAUUCGAAACACAAACAUGGCGUUGAAUCGCUAGCCCUAGAGUAAGCCACAUUGAUAUACUGUGUAAAAUAAUAGGUAUUUCCAUUGUUGUAAUGUCAUAUGCUUGGCAGAGUUUACACGACGGAAAUAUCAUAUAGAAUCCGCAUCCAAAAACGUACAUAAAUAACGGAGAUGGAAUAAAUACCGUCAACAUGUCCACAAUAGCUAACGCAGCCAGUAAAGCAUGAUGUGGAGUAAAAAAUUUAGCUCUCCAAAAUACCACUAGUAUUGUACAAUUUAUUACCACAGUAACACAUGCUAAGCUUGGAAAUAAAUAUCCAUUUAUAAUAAAGUUUGGUGUCGUCCGAUGUCUUCCCAAAUAACAAAUUUCGUUUGUAAUAUUCAUUAAAUCUUCAUUGAAUUCCAUCGACAAGUUUUCUCCUUCUCCAAGCAUUCUUUUAUGACCAUUAAAGAAGUUAUCCGUUUAAAUGCCUUGCUGUUAAAAAAGCUGUCAGAAACUAAACAUUCAUAGAUAGAUGUUCUUUACUUGAAAAACGAUAAUUAACAGAUGAUCUAGGCAAACUCUCUAUCUUAAGUCCGGCGAUGAUCAAUUUAUGGAAUCAUCGUGAGUGGUUUGUCAGCAUUUUCAUUAACAGUCAUGAUAGCAGCAAGAUGAUCCGAAGAUUACACUACUACUUAACUUAUUUGAUAUGACAUCGAUGUCGUGCUCCAUACAAUAAUUUCCUUUCUUUAGCGGAUUGAUCUUCCCAGCAGCCUUUUAUACCUCUAUACUUUUUCUAAUUAAUUCUAAUCUUGAAAAUACUAAUCAAGCCAUGUUUUUGUGACGUUCAACUUCUAUUUAUAAGCAAUUUUGACACACGUUAUAGUGGUUUGCUUAAUAUUUCUGAUUACUUCAAUAACUGAUUUAAUAGAUUAUUCUAUUAAU
rnacentral:lncRNA from 1 species